UGAAUAGAGGCGCGGAUCUUAUGAUAAACGCAAAACGGGGUUAAGUGUUUUGCGCGGUAAAGGAAGAUUCGCCGAAGAGAAAGAUUUGCCCCGAAAUCUUUUGUCUGGGCGCAAGCGGAAUACGUUUGCGACUGUCGCGGGAAUUUUCCCGCGUUGCGCUAUUGA
rnacentral:ncRNA from 1 species